CAGUGGUCCGAAGGGAUCCAAGGAGGCACGCUCGGUCAACGUUAUUCUCCACCGAUUGGUUGGCGGUGCUCCUUCUCAAAACUUAACCCAACCUAAUCAAACCUAACCUAACCUAAACUAACCCAACCCAACCUAACACAAUAUUAAUAACCCUAAAAGUCUCUAUCUAAACCUUCUAACAUUUUGCCACAAGCAUGAAAAUGGGCACCGCCAAAGAAUCGGUGGAGAAUAACGUUUAUCGGCCCGCUCUUCCCAUUCCUGGGUUGGCCGUCUAGAUGAUUCAAAUUGGCAACACUUUUACCUAGUUUGGCAUCAACAUCUUCUCGUUGAGCCUCCUCCUCCCACAAAGGGAGUAAGUAAAUGAACGAGUGAAAAACGCCCGUCAGCUACUUCGAAUAGAUCAAUGGGCGUGGUGAAAGAUCCAAGUGAACCCAAACGAUGAAGAUCACGAUGCCUGGGAUUCUUGGACCUCAUUUCUCAGCCAGCCAGCUCAACCAGCUCACCCCCCCCUUUCAUCCGCGCGCCUCCUAUGAACCCUUAGCACGACGAUUUGGGAUCUCGAUCAUGUGCCAUGGCUUGAUCCAUUAAUGGAAGCAUGGAUGGAUGGGACUGCCUCGGAGGCAUUCAAUAUCAUGACCAGGAUUGAAUAGUAAGUCUUGCCGUGGACAGAAAGGACAUACAUACCGGUCACGUCAAGCAGUUGAUUAAGAACCGGCCCAUCUAUCUGUAACCCACCCCAAGCCGGCCCACCCACCCACGCACGAACCUGGCCUGCCCUUUCAGGUCGGAAAUUAGCUUGAACCAGGAUCAUGGGUGGAUUCCCACCUCCCAAUGGAACGAAUGAACCGAGGAUAAACAUGAUGGAAGAUCAAUCCAACCCCAUUAGUGGCUACCCCGACCUUCUCGAACACGUCAAAAGAAAUGGCUCAGUUUCUACACUCAUCAGCCAUUGCUAGCAUGAAGAACAUCAGUUUUGGCUUCCCAACGCUUCCCAAUCCGCCCUCACAUCAGCCGAUGACGCCUUCACCAAAUUCCUUGGACGUAUUUUAUUUGCCAAGCAAAGCCCCUCACCAUCGGGGUGGCCAGGUUAUUGUCCAACAGUGUUGGGAACCUGACCUUUUUGGAGGUGAUGUCCAGACACAAUUUGUCCUUCCUGGUCGAGGACUGGCUAACACAUUGUUGUCCUUGGCCCGACAUCCCUUGGGAAUAUUGGUGACUCCCGGCCCAAUGCCAUCAACGACGGGAGCUGACAAAGGAUGUGCUCCAUCUGGCUCACCCAUUAUACUGCCAUAACCAAGACUUUCAUCACCUACCUCUCUACCAAACUGUUUAUGUACUGUCUGUGAUUCCCCUCUUCACUUUUUUCUUGAGCACUGGACCAAUUUCCAGUAUCGCAUUGCAAUGAGCUGUACUAUCAUUCUGAUCAUUUCAUUUCUUGAUCCUUUUAUUGAUGUCUGUGCAUAAUAUUUUUUUUUCCACACUUUUAUAUAUUGAACAAACUGACCUGACCGAGAGUCGCAAUGAA